UCAUCUCCAGGGAAGAGAUGCUUCAUCUGUGGAAUGGCAGGACAUUGUAGCCAAGGAAUGAAGAUCGAACUAGACACUCUUGCAUCAUCUUCCCCACCAUCAGCUUCACCAUCAUCUCCUCCGACUUCAUCACCUGCUUCCCCUGUCACUCCUCCAACUUCAUCACCUGCUUCACCUGUCACUGCUCCCACUUCCUCUCCACCUUUAGAGACUCCUCCACCACCAAAAUCUACUCCAACAAUAUCUCCUUCAUCACCAUCCACAACACCUACGAGUAGCCCUGCACCAUCCUCUGAUGUU
rnacentral:lncRNA from 1 species